GACGAACGCUGACGGCGUGCUUAACACAUGCAAGUCGAACGAAGUGGCGAACGGGUGAGUAACGCGUGAGUAACUGCCCCCCUCUCUGGGAUAACAGUUGGAAACGGCUGCUAAUACCGGAUAGUGGGGGAUGACUCGCGUCCUAUCAGCUUGUUGGUGGGGUAGUGGCCUACAAAGGCGACGACGGGUAGCCGGCCUGAGCGGGCGACCAGCAACAUUGGGCUGAGAUACGGCCCAAACUCCUACGGGAGGAAGCAGUGGGGAAUAUUGCACAAUGGGGGAAACCCUGAUGCAGAAACGCCGCGUGCGGGAUGACGGCCUUCGGGUUGUAAACCGCUUUCAGCCAUGACGCGGUAGUGGCAGAAGAAGCACCGGCUAACUACGUGCCAGCCGCCGCGGUAAUUC
rnacentral:rRNA from 1 species